GACCAGACUCCUACGGGAGGCAGCAGUGGGGAAUAUUGGGCAAUGGGCGCAAGCCUGACCCAGCAACGCCGCGUGAAGGAAGAAGGCUUUCGGGUUGUAAACUUCUUUUGUCAGGGACGAAGCAAGUGACGGUACCUGACGAAUAAGCCACGGCUAACUACGUGCCAGCAGCCGCGGUAAUACGUUGGUGGCAAGCGUUAUCCGGAUUUACUGGGUGUAAAGGGCGAGUAGGCGGGAUUGCAAGUCAGAUGUGAAAACUAUGGGCUCAACCGAUAGAGUGCAUUUGAAACUGCAGUUCUUGAGUGAUGGAGAGGCAGGCGGAAUUCCCGGUGUAGCGGUGGAAUGCGUAGAUAUCGGGAGGAACACCAGUGGCGAAGGCGGCCUGCUGGACGAUGACUGACGUUGAGGCUCGAAAGCGUGGGGAGCAAACAGGAUUAGAUACCCGGGUAC
rnacentral:rRNA from 1 species